AAAGUCGUAACAAGGUUUCCGUAGGUGAACCUGCGGAAGGAUCAUUAACACUUUUUAUUAUUUUGUUUUUUUUUCUAAAACAAAAUUUAAAACCCCACAAUUUUGGAUGAAUUUAAUUUAUUUAUUUUUUAUUUUAUUUUUUUUAUUAUAACCCUAUUAUUUUGACUAACAUUUUUAUUUAAUUAUUAAAAAAUUAAAAAAACAACUGUUAACAACGGAUAUCUUGGCUCUC
rnacentral:misc_RNA from 1 species